rnacentral:rRNA from 1 species
GACAGAGGGUGCAAACGUUUGUUCGGAAUUACUGGGCGUAAAGCGCGUGUAGGCGGCUAAGUAAGUCGGGCGUGAAAUCCCACGGCUCAACCGUGGAAGUGCACUCGAAACUGCAUAGCUAGAGUCCUGGAGAGGAAGGUGGAAUGCUUGGUGUAGAGGUGAAAUUCGUAGAUAUCAAGCGGAACACCGGUGGCGAAGGCGGCCUUCUGGACAGUGACUGACGCUGAGACGCGAAAGCGUGGGG